rnacentral:misc_RNA from 1 species
UCAAACUUGGUCAUUUAGAGGAAGUAAAAGUCGUAACAAGGUUUCCGUAGGUGAACCUGCGGAAGGAUCAUUACUGAGUUUAGGGUCUCUUUUAGAGCCCGAAUCUCCAACCCUUUGUUAAAAACACUUUGUUGCUUUGGCAGGCCCGUCUUAUCCUUUCACCGGGAGACGACCGCCGGGGGCGUUUAGUCACCUCUGGUCCGUGCUUGCCGAUAGCCUAUUAAAAAUUCUUUAUUAAAUUAUGUCUGAAAAAUUAUAACUAAAUAUAAUUAAAACUUUUAACAACGGAUCUCUUGGUUCUGGCAUCGAUGAAGAACGCAGC